rnacentral:rRNA from 1 species
GACGAACGCUGGCGGCGUGCCUAACACAUGCAAGUCGAACGGAACUGUUUUGAAAGAUUUCUUCGGAAUGAAUUUGAUUUAGUUUAGUGGCGGACGGGUGAGUAACGCGUGAGUAACCUGCCUUCAAGAGGGGGAUAACAUUCUGAAAAGAAUGCUAAUACCGCAUGACAUAUUGGAACCACAUGGUUUUGAUAUCAAAGAUUUUAUCGCUUGAAGAUGGACUCGCGUCCGAUUAGUUAGUUGGUGAGGUAACGGCUCACCAAGACCGCGAUCGGUAGCCGGACUGAGAGGUUGAACGGCCACAUUGGGACUGAGACACGGCCCAGACUCCUACGGGAGGCAGCAGUGGGGGAUAUUGCGCAAUGGGGGCAACCCUGACGCAGCAACGCCGCGUGAAGGAUGAAGGUUUUCGGAUUGUAAACUUCUUUUAUUAAGGACGAAAAAUGACGGUACUUAAUGAAUAAGCUCCGGCUAACUACGUGCCAGCAGCCGCGGUAAUACGUAGGGAGCAAGCGUUGUCCGGAUUUACUGGGUGUAAAGGGUGCGUAGGCGGCUUUGCAAGUCAGAUGUGAAAUCUAUGGGCUCAACCCAUAAACUGCAUUUGAAACUGUAGAGCUUGAGUGAAGUAGAGGCAGGCGGAAUUCCCCGUGUAGCGGUGAAAUGCGUAGAGAUGGGGAGGAACACCAGUGGCGAAGGCGGCCUGCUGGGCUUUAACUGACGCUGAGGCACGAAAGCGUGGGUAG